AAUGGGCGCAGCCUGAUCCAGCAAUACCGCGUGGGUGAAGAAGGCCUUCGGGUUGUAAAGCCCUUUUGUUGGGAAAGAAAUCCAGCCGGCCCAAUACCUGGUUGGGAUGACGGUACCCAAAGAAUAAGCACCGGCUAACUUCGUGCCAGCAGCCGCGGUAAUACGA
rnacentral:rRNA from 1 species